AACGUACGCUGGCGGCACGCCUAACACAUGCAAGUCGAACGCAGUAGCAAUACUGAGUGGCAAACGGGUGAGUAUAAUGUGGGAAUCUGCCUUUUGGUCUGGAAUAACACGAGGAAACUUGUGCUAAUACCGGAUAAGCCUUUACAGGGAAAGUUUUAACGCCGAAAGAUGAGCCCGCACUUGAUUAGCCAGUUGGUAAGGUAAUAGCUUACCAAGGCAACGAUCAAUAGCUGUUCUUAGAGGAAGACCAGCCACAUUGGGACUGAGACACGGCCCAAACUCCUACGGGAGGCAGCAGAGGGGAAUCUUGCACAAUGGGGGAAACCCUGAUGCAGCGAUGCCGCGUGAGAGAAGAAGGCCUUUGGGUUGUAAAACUCUUUCGUCGGGGAAGAAAAUGACUGUACCCGAAUAAGAAGGUCCGGCUAACUUCGUGCC
rnacentral:rRNA from 1 species